GAUGAACGCUGGCGGCGUGCCUAAUACAUGCAAGUCGAGCGAACGGACGAGAAGCUUGCUUCUCUGAUGUUAGCGGCGGACGGGUGAGUAACACGUGGAUAACCUACCUAUAAGACUGGGAUAACUUCGGGAAACCGGAGCUAAUACCGGAUAAUAUUUUGAACCGCAUGGUUCAAAAGUGAAAGACGGUCUUGCUGUCACUUAUAGAUGGAUCCGCGCUGCAUUAGCUAGUUGGUAAGGUAACGGCUUACCAAAGCAACGAUGCAUAGCCGACCUGAGAGGGUGAUCGGCCACACUGGAACUGAGACACGGUCCAGACUCCUACGGGAGGCAGCAGUAGGGAAUCUUCCGCAAUGGGCGAAAGCCUGACGGAGCAACGCCGCGUGAGUGAUGAAGGUCUUCGGAUCGUAAAACUCUGUUAUUAGGGAAGAACAUAUGUGUAAGUAACUGUGCACAUCUUGACGGUACCUAAUCAGAAAGCCACGGCUAACUACGUGCCAGCAGCCGCGGUAAUACGUAGGUGGCAAGCGUUAUCCGGAAUUAUUGGGCGUAAAGCGCGCGUAGGCGGUUUUUUAAGUCUGAUGUGAAAGCCCACGGCUCAACCGUGGAGGGUCAUUGGAAACUGGAAAACUUGAGUGCAGAAGAGGAAAGUGGAAUUCCAUGUGUAGCGGUGAAAUGCGCAGAGAUAUGGAGGAACACCAGUGGCGAAGGCGACUUUCUGGUCUGUAACUGACGCUGAUGUGCGAAAGCGUGGGGAUCAAACAGGAUUAGAUACCCUGGUAGUCCACGCCGUAAACGAUGAGUGCUAAGUGUUAGGGGGUUUCCGCCCCUUAGUGCUGCAGCUAACGCAUUAAGCACUCCGCCUGGGGAGUACGACCGCAAGGUUGAAACUCAAAGGAAUUGACGGGGACCCGCACAAGCGGUGGAGCAUGUGGUUUAAUUCGAAGCAACGCGAAGAACCUUACCAAAUCUUGACAUCCUUUGACAACUCUAGAGAUAGAGCCUUCCCCUUCGGGGGACAAAGUGACAGGUGGUGCAUGGUUGUCGUCAGCUCGUGUCGUGAGAUGUUGGGUUAAGUCCCGCAACGAGCGCAACCCUUAAGCUUAGUUGCCAUCAUUAAGUUGGGCACUCUAAGUUGACUGCCGGUGACAAACCGGAGGAAGGUGGGGAUGACGUCAAAUCAUCAUGCCCCUUAUGAUUUGGGCUACACACGUGCUACAAUGGACAAUACAAAGGGCAGCGAAACCGCGAGGUCAAGCAAAUCCCAUAAAGUUGUUCUCAGUUCGGAUUGUAGUCUGCAACUCGACUACAUGAAGCUGGAAUCGCUAGUAAUCGUAGAUCAGCAUGCUACGGUGAAUACGUUCCCGGGUCU
rnacentral:rRNA from 1 species